GAUGAACGCUGGCGGCGUGCCUAAUACAUGCAAGUCGAGCGAACGGACGAGAAGCUUGCUUCUCUGAUGUUAGCGGCGGACGGGUGAGUAACACGUGGAUAACCUACCUAUAAGACUGGGAUAACUUCGGGAAACCGGAGCUAAUACCGGAUAAUAUUUUGAACCGCAUGGUUCAAAAGUGAAAGACGGUCUUGCUGUCACUUAUAGAUGGAUCCGCGCUGCAUUAGCUAGUUGGUAAGGUAACGGCUUACCAAGGCAACGAUGCAUAGCCGACCUGAGAGGGUGGUCGGCCACACUGGAACUGAGACACGGUCCAGACUCCUACGGGAGGCAGCAGUAGGGAAUCUUCCGCAAUGGGCGAAAGCCUGGCGGAGCAACGCCGCGUGAGUGAUGAAGGUCUUCGGAUCGUAAAACUCUGUUAUUAGGGAAGAACAUAUGUGUAAGUAACUGUGCACAUCUUGACGGUACCUAAUCAGAAAGCCACGGCUAACUACGUG
rnacentral:rRNA from 1 species